UAUGUCAUGGACAGAGCAGGUGUUCCUAAUGUUUUUUUACACUCAGUCCAUUUUACAUACAUGGUAGGCUACUUUUAUACACAGUAGGCCUAUUACAGAGAACAUACAUAUAUAUUUUUGAUAUACACAUUACUUUCCUUGCUGCAAACUUCCUGCAAGUUUGUGACAAAAUGUUGCCAGAAGUUGUUUGCCACUAGUGGUGAAUUUGCAGCAAACCUUUGGCAACAACAAUAUUUACGACUAGUGGCAAACAGUUCACCAGUUUGUUUCUGGAAAACAAUUCUCUCGAGAUUAUAUUUGAAUCUGUGCAAACCUGUGGCAACAAUAUGUACUGCCACUAGUGGCUCCCAGUUUACCAGAGGUUGUUUCUGGUGGGCACAUCAUUUCAAAGACCAGUAACUUUUGACGACCAGUCAAGGAGAUCUGAAAAAAAAUCAGAUGGAAAUGGAAACCAAGAAAUCUACCUACCAAAGUUGUCCGAAGCAAUCAGUUAUCAGACAAAGAGACAGAUUGAGGCCUUCAAUCAAACGGAGGACUGAGAAAUAUGCAUGCACCAGGUCAAGACUUCUUGCAUGCAUGGCCUUGAGAUGAAAGUUAUCAAUAAUUUGUUUAGGAAAAUAAUAUUGAUUUCCAUAUAGGCAUAACAAAAUGUUUGUUGCUCUUCUUCCACCCAAGCCUUAUUAUACACCUGAGUCAGAAAGAAGUGACAACUAGUAGAAAAGUGGCUCUUGAUAAUGAUGUCCCCAGUCCAGAUUGGAGAUCUGAGUUUUAAUCCAUUGUAUUGAGGCUUGACUGGAGGAAAUCAUUUCUGUGGCUCUCUAGAAACACACAUUUUGGAGGUAGGUGUAAUAGGCGUAAUAUGUCCCAGUAUGCUCGCUACAUUGUUUGUUCAUAUAGCAUUUAUACAAGGCAGAUUUUUUCCCUUUCUGAAAAAUAGAUAUAAUGCCAGUUUCAGUGAGAAGCGUAGCAACAUCCCACUGGGCAAAAACUGGUUGUAUCAACAUUGUUUCCACGUCAUUUCGACCCCCAAAAAU